CAGUCGCCGCGGUAAUACGUAGGGGGCAAGCGUUGUCCGGAAUUAUUGGGCGUAAAGCGCGCGCAGGCGGUCAUUUAAGUCUGGUGUUUAAUCCCGGGGCUCAACCCCGGAUCGCACUGGAAACUGGGUGACUUGAGUGCAGAAGAGGAGAGUGGAAUUCCACGUGUAGCGGUGAAAUGCGUAGAUAUGUGGAGGAACACCAGUGGCGAAGGCGACUCUCUGGGCUGUAACUGACGCUGAGGCGCGAAAGCGUGGGGAGCAAACAGGAUUAGAUACCCCCGUAGUCCCUGUCUCUUAUACC
rnacentral:rRNA from 1 species